ensembl:lncRNA
AGGGCGGAAUCGCGCCUACGGAGAGCAACGCCUCUGUUAUCUAAUCGAGAACCAGAUUAACAGCCGAGGAGGAAAAAAAGGCAAGAAGGCAUUCUUCAGAUUGGAGGAAUCUUAACUCAACACCCCAGUCUCCUUGCCAGUGGCCAAGGACACUGGUUCUUUUCAAGGCACGUUUCUACCUCUGGACCACCUCAGCCCUUGGAUUUAUGCGGUCCCUAGAAAGGUCUAGAAAGUCAAAGGUCAGGAAGAGGCAUCCUGCGUCUGGUGAGGGAGCCUGUUCAGAGCCCUCAACGGGGACAAGGACACAAUGAAUUUCCAGCUGCUGAAACCAACUUCCAUUUGCUUUGAAUCAAAUGCCUGGGACUGGGGAGAAGGGGAUCUUUGGCGUGGAUGUUCGCACCCUUAAACAGAGCUCCUCCCUAGUUUGGGUCUUCGGUCUCCAUGAGGGCCUCCGCUUUCCACUCUUGAGCGGGAAAACGGACAAGAACCCUGAGCGUGGCCUGAGGUCUCAGUUUCACCGUCUGUAAAAUUGGAUUGGAGGUCCUGGGCCGAGGCCCUUGGG